CAUUUUCAAUGCAUUUCAGUGAUAUCAGACAAGCUCCUCUGGCCCACUUUCUGGGCCAUGACCUUGGUUUUCUAGCAAGGUGAUUCCUUGAAAAGAGAAAGACAAUCUGCCACUUCCUUUGUUAACCAAAUACCCCACACCAAAUUGUUGUUCUUCUCCAAUUAGUUGUAAGCACCCAUCUCAGCUAUCAGAGGGGGCUUAUGGGUUUCUUUGUGCACUACAAGGAAACCUGGACCAUGAAGCCUUCCCUGCCAGUCAAGGAAAGAAACGUGUGACCUGGGUCCCUCUUAUAAGCAUCAGUUCCCUUGGUGAUGCAUGAAACAGAGGAGGCCACCUGUGUGGGGACAAGCUGCCUAUUCCCAGAAGAGUCAUUUUAGCUCACAGCCUGGUCCUCACCCUUGGCCCUGUGACAGCCUACAGGAAUCCACAUCCUACCUCUAGAAGAUGUCCACCUGUGUCAUUCCUUAAUGCUAACAGUACACUUGUUCUACACCAGAGACCUGGAAGGUACCUUGGCUUCAGAAGGGUGACUCUUCAUCUCAACACCCAAUGUUUCUCCAUCUAAACACCCACUGAUGUGAAUGGAGUCUUAUAAAAGCAGUGACUGCACAAUCAUGACCAAGUCUGUUCCAGAGGUUGACAACUGUGGCAUUCCACCAGGAACUAAGCUCCUGAUUGAAACAGAAGACUGAACAACUGAGCAUUGCCCAGGGGCCCUGUUGAGAUGUCAUGGAUGUGGUGAGGCACACAGGUCUGUUGGGAAGAUUUUGGACACAGACCUGUUCUCAGAAGGUCUGUUGGGAAGAUUUGGCACAAGCCAGGGAAAAGUUCUGAGGAUGAGGAAACACAGGUUCUACCAAGGGAAUAGCUAAUGCAGAUGUUCCCAUAUCCAGAUAGUGUCUGCCUGCUUUCAUGGCCCCUUCCACGCACCUAGUCAUCACUGAACCAGGAAGAGCUCAGGGGCAGGGGAGGCCAGUAUGUAGAUCCCACCAACUUCUGUGGUUCCAAGGUUCCAAGGCCCAUUGUGCCUCACGAAGACUUUCAUGAGGCUUAACCAAUAAGGUUCUGGGACUCAGAGAACCUGAGUGAACCACGGAGACAGAGACAGUGGCCUCUCACUACUUAUCCUGGUUGCCUCUCGCUCUGCUCCGCAUCACAGCUGCCUCUCACUCCUUAUCCUUAUCUUAUCUCGUCCUCAAUAACUCUCUUCCAGAGAAACCACGGUGUUCUGACAGGCUUUAUCAGUUGUGCUGUCUUCGUGAAGCCAUUGGUAGAGUCCACCGGUCAUGGACAAAGAAAAUGCCAUGGAUACUUCCACCCCACCUGACCCGAACAUGGUGGAGAAGACAGAUCCACAGUUCAAACCCCGUGGGGCCUCCAACAACAUACUGACCUAUUUAAUCAAUAGACAACUGGGGAGGCCCAGAUAUGAUGUAGACCUGUCCAAGUGGGUGUGGAUGCUCACAUGAGCUACCCCACAGUGGAGUGGCAUUUGCCAAAGUGUCAUUUUGUCAUGGGACUCCCCUAUUCAUCUUUAUUUGGAACUGUAUAUUUGGAAAAAAUUACAACAAACCUUACCCAUGUUUGAUCCAAUAAUUAAUUUGUGCUUAACUCCU